ACCAACACAGACAGGUGCACGUUAAUUAGAAAAAUUAAAUAAUGGACCUCAAGAAGUCAGUUAUCAGUCCUGUAUGCUUCAUUUUUAUGAUUUCAAGCACCUGGAUCACAUGAAACUAUGCCCCACCUACUCAUUAAUAUUCUCAAGUCAACGUGAGUACUUUAAAUAAUGAGGGAGGGUCUGGCAUUAAAACGUAACUUGUGCGCAUAUUAAAAUAGAAACAAACAAUUGUAGUUGAAUAUUAAUAAUAAGUAAAUUAUUUAAAAUAAAUUAAAAUAAAUUAUGCAUUUAAGUCAUACAUGUACAACAUGUACCUUCUAACACUUGACUCAGGUUUUCCCACAAAGCAUAUGUUAAGUGAGCUAAACAGCAUGAGCUUUGUGAGCUGCUGCAUUAUAGUGCCCUGCCUUUUUUAGCAACUUUUAAAAGUCAUAAAAAAUUCAAUUUUGAUCGGAAUCAGCUUACACUUUCUACACAGCAUAAGA